rnacentral:lncRNA from 1 species
GAGGGAGGCGGCUAGCAUCGCUGGAAUGCGCUGUCUGUGUUUAGGGCAAGUAUGAUUACAUACGUGAGAGCACACAGUCUGAGAGCUUCCCACAUGGAAAGCCACAGAGCAAAGAUGACGUUCCAUGCAUGCUGGCUUCCAGUCCUCACAGCUCCUCUCCAAGUCAUCCGGUGUGAUGCUGCAGCCAUGCUACUCCUUGGCGCUCUGCUUCCCAACCAAAACAAUGCUCCUUCUCAGCUUUUCCAAAGCUUCCGGCCCCAGCAGUUCUUGGACCUGGGGUACUUUCCUCCCUGCAAGCAACAAAGGAGGACAAGCCCCAGCUUCUCUAAGAUACCUUCGGCUGCCUGGAAGAGGCCUGUGGAAGGCCCCACAAUUCUCCACAGACCUCGGGGCGUUGCUGUUUCUUCUCAGUGGCCCUGGUCUCCUCAGCCAGCUCCAGCUGACUUGGCGUAA